rnacentral:rRNA from 1 species
CCUACGGGCGGCAGCAGUGGGGAAUAUUGCACAAUGGGGGAAACCCUGAUGCAGCGACGCCGCGUGAAGGAAGAAGUAUCUCGGUAUGUAAACUUCCAUCAGCAGGGAAGAAAAUGACGGUACCUGUCUAAGAAGCCCCGGCUAACUACGUGCCAGCAGCCGCGGUAAUACGUCGGGGGCAAGCGUUAUCCGGAUUUACUGGGUGUAAAGGGAGCGUAGGCGGUGUUGCAAGUCAGAAGUGAAAGCCCGCGGCUCAACUGCGGGACUGCUUUUGAAACUGUAUGACGAGAUUGCAGGAGAGGUAAGUGGAAUUCCUGGUGUAGCGGUGAAAUGCGUAGAUAUUAGGAAGAACACCAGUGGCGAAGGCGGCUUACUGGACUGUAAAUGACGCUGAGGCUCGAAAGCGUGGGGAGCAAACAGGAUUAGAUACCCGAGUAGUC